UACGUAGGGUGCAGGCGUUAAUCGGAAUUACUGGGCGUAAAGAGCGCGUAGGCGGUCCGGUAAGUCCGCUCUGAAAGUCCGGGGCUCAACCCCGGGAGGCGGGCGGAUACUGUCGGGCUAGAGUCCGGAAGAGGCGAGUGGAAUUCCUGGUGUAGCGGUGAAAUGCGCAGAUAUCAGGAGGAACACCGAUGGCGAAGGCAGGUCUCUGGGCAUUAACUGACGCUGAGGAGCGAAAGCAUGGGGAGCGAACAGG
rnacentral:rRNA from 1 species